AGGACGAACGCUGGCGGCGUGCCUAACACAUGCAAGUCGAACGGGAAAGUGGAGCAAUCCAUGAGUAUAGUGGCGACCGGGUGAGUAACACGUGACUAACCUACCUUCAAGUGGGGGGAUAACCUCGGGAAACCGGGGCUAAUACCGCAUAAUAUCUUUGUGCUGAGAAAGCAGAGAUCAAAGGAGUAAUUCGCUGGAAGAGGGGGUCGCGGCUGAUUAGCUAGUUGGUGGGGUAACGGCCCACCAAGGCUUUGAUCGGUAGCCGGCCUGAGAGGGCGCACGGCCACACUGGAACUGAAACACGGUCCAGACUCCUACGGGAGGCAGCAGUGGGGAAUUUUGCGCAAUGGGGGAAACCCUGACGCAGCAACGCCGCGUGGAGGAUGAAGUCCCUUGGGACGUAAACUCCUUUCGACCGGGAGAUUAUGACGGUACGGUGGAAGAGCCCGGCUAACUUCGCGCCAGCAGCCGC
rnacentral:rRNA from 1 species